UACGUAGGUGGCAAGCGUUAUCCGGAAUUAUUGGGCGUAAAGCGCGCGCAGGCGGUUUCUUAAGUCUGAUGUGAAAUCCCACGGCUCAACCGUGGAAGUGCACUCGAAACUGCGUAGCUAGAGUCCUGGAGAGGAAGGUGGAAUGCUUGGUGUAGAGGUGAAAUUCGUAGAUAUCAAGCGGAACACCGGUGGCGAAGGCGGCCUUCUGGACAGUGACUGACGCUGAGACGCGAAAGCGUGGGGAGCAAACAGG
rnacentral:rRNA from 1 species